rnacentral:rRNA from 1 species
CCUACGGGAGGCAGCAGUGGGGAAUCUUGCGCAAUGGGCGAAAGCCUGACGCAGCAACGCCGCGUGAGUGAUGAAGGUCUUCGGAUCGUAAAGCUCUGUCGGCAGGAAAGACGGGAACGUUGGCCAAUAUCCAACGGUCUUGACGGUACCUGCAAAGGAAGCACCGGCUAACUCUGUGCCAGCAGCCGCGGUAAU